AUUUCUAUUUGGAGACAUCUGAUAAAAUUUGAACGACACAGAGAAGAUUAGCAUCGCCCCUUAUGCCAGAACCAAAAAAAAGGAGGGGAGGGGGAAUUAGCACCGCCCCUGUGGAAGGAUGACAUGCACCAAUGAUAAAUAAUGAAGAGAUUG
rnacentral:snRNA from 1 species